CGCGAGCUCAGGCUGUCAUCCCACCUCAGCCUGCUGAGUAGCCAGGACUACAGCCAGGUGAAACACAUCUAUGGAUCAGAUCUGGCCCAGGAACCACUGGCUGACCAUCUCCAAUUUGGAAGGACUCAGCAUUUCAGGCUCAAAGGAGAGAGAGGUCUUCUAUGACUGCACAGAGCACACAUGAAAGAAAGCAACUGAACACCAACUCUGGAGAGCACAGAUGCUUGGAGUGUAUUCCAAAUCCCCUCUCUCUCUUACAUGGAGAAACUCCCUCUAUAACUAUGACCUGUUUUGUUACCUCGAUGUCGACAUCAUUAAAUAAAGAGCCCUUCGGAUCAUGAACACCUCAGACAAGGUGCCUCACACUUGAAGAAAACUGAGUCUUUUUUUUGUUUUUCCUUUGCAUCUGGCCAUUAUGUGUCCUAUAAUGACUGCAGGUCACUGCCUCUGCCCCCAGCCCUCAUUUCUCAAGGCAGAAUCCAUUUGAGUUGACGACACCUGGAGCGGCUAAGCAGCACUUGAAAAACGAUUUACCCACCAAGAAGUCAUCAAUGAGAAGACACUCUCUUUAGCAAAUCAGACCUUGUUUCCAAUCAGCUC
rnacentral:lncRNA from 1 species